rnacentral:misc_RNA from 1 species
UACGGGGGGGGCAAGCGUUGUCCGGAAUCAUUGGGCGUAAAGGGUGCGUAGGCGGAUGGGUCAGUCAGGGGUAAAAUCUUGUAGCUUAACUAUAAGUUAGCCUUUGAUACUGCCUAUCUUGAGUAUGAGAGAGGAAGGCGGAAUUCCCGGUGUAGCGGUGAAAUGCGUAGAUAUCGGGAAGAACACCCGUGGCGAAGGCGGCCUUCUGGCUCAUAACUAACGCUGAGGCACGAAAGCGUGGGGACCAAACAGG